rnacentral:rRNA from 1 species
UACGUAGGGGGCUAGCGUUGUCCGGAAUUAUUGGGCGUAAAGAGCUUGUAGGCGGUCUGUCGCGUCUGCUGUGAAAAUCCGGGGCUCAACCCCGGACUUGCAGUGGGUACGGGCAGACUAGAGUGUGGUAGGGGAGACUGGAAUUCCUGGUGUAGCGGUGAAAUGCGUAGAUAUUGGGAGGAACACCAGUGGCGAAGGCGGCUCACUGGACCGGUUCUGACGCUGAGGCGCGAAAGCGUGGGGAGCAAACGGG